UACAGAGGUCUCAAGCGUUGUUCGGAUUCAUUGGGCGUAAAGGGUGCGUAGGUGGCGCGCUAAGUCAGGUGUGAAAUUUCGGAGCUUAACUCCGAAACUGCAUUUGAUACUGGCGUGCUUGAGGACUGGAGAGGAGACUGGAAUUCAUGGUGUAGCAGUGAAAUGCGUAGAGAUCAUGAGGAAGACCAGUGGCGAAGGCGGGUCUCUGGACAGUUCCUGACACUGAGGAGCGAAAGCGUGGGGAGCGAACAGG
rnacentral:rRNA from 1 species